CACGAAUUUUGCAAUGAGGCAUGGCGGAAGUUAGCACCAAAAUAUCUUCCUGCAGCCUUCUUAACCCAGGAGAAUGUUGAGGAGAACGGGACAGGGUUGUAUGCUCUCGGAUUUCCUUAAUGCUUUGGUGCCAUAGAUGGAUGCCAUAUAGAAAUAAGUCCUCCCAAAAAUGACGCUGUCGAUUUUUAUAACUACAAGGGCUGGUACUCUGUAAUUCUUAGGCCUUUGUAGUCUUUAAAUACCGGUUUAGAUAUAUAAAUGUUGGUGCUCCAGGCAGGUGUAACGGUUCUCAAGUGUACGAGCAAUCCUAUCUAAAGACGCUCAUUAAUGGAUCGAACAUCUUUGAGUCUAAUGCCAAAGAAAUUGAGAGGAUCAUGGUGCCAAUUAAUAUUUUGGGCGAUUCGGCAUAUUGAUUCUCUAAAAAAUGUA